AAUUACAAUUUUAAUGUCCGUAUAUACUCGAUCAUAAGCCGGUUCGUUUAUAAGCUGAACCCCAGAAGAUGGAUAAGUAAAAAUGGAAAUUUUUUAUGACCCAUUCAUAAGCCAACCCUAUAAUUCAGGGGUCAGCAAACUUUGGCUCCCGGGCCAUCAGGAUAAGGCACUGGUAGGUAGAGAUGGUUUGUUUACCUUGAGCGUCCUCAGGCACAGAGGUAAACCUAAGUAAACAAAGUGUCCUGGCAUGCCAGCUGCUUAUCCUGAUGGGCCGGGACAGCAACUGGUGCGGAAAUUUUGGCAGGGGGAGAAGCUGGGGAUCAGGGGAGUAACCCCUGUGACCACCCCCCACAUAACCCCACCCCUAGCCUGGGACCCCCCACACUCUCCCCAUUGCAUUCCUUCCCACCUUA